rnacentral:tRNA from 1 species
AUAUUAAUAGUAUAAGGUUGUGAAUAUUCCUUCUUUCCAAGUAGGGGAUCUCUUAGGAGUUAAUAUA